rnacentral:tRNA from 1 species
GCCGUUUUAGCUCAGUCGGUAGAGCGCAAGACUUUUAAUCGUGAGUUUAUUUUUUGAACCAUUGGACUUUCUUUUAUUUUGUUCUAACCUGUAUGUUUGUAAUCAUUCCCUUGUAGUUGUGGUCGAGGGUUCGACUCCCUCAAACGGCA